UGCUUCUUGUUUAGCAUGGAGUGUGAAGGGAAAAGACAGAAAGUGGAACAUCAGAGGGUUCCCCACCCCUUUGGCUUGUGGUUUUGGGUUCUUGUUUUCGGACAGCUUUGAGGAUUAAAGAGGGAUUUCAUCUCAUCCACAUCUCUUUCUCUGUCUCUCCCUCUCUUUGCCUCAGUUUCGUGAGUUGAUCAGUUUGAUAAUUU